GACGAACGCUGGCGGCGUGCUUAACACAUGCCAGUCGAACGGAAAGGCCUGCUUUCCCUUGUGGAUUGCGGGUACUCGAGUGGCGAACGGGUGAGUAACACGUGAGUGAUCUGCCCCCAACUUGGGUAUAAGCCUGGGAAACUGGGUCUAAUUCCCGAUAGGACUGCAGGGUGGUGCCUGUGGUGGAAAACGAUUUUCUAGUGGUUGGGGAUGAGCUCGCGGCCUAUCAGCUUGUUGGUGGGGUAAUGGCCUACCAAGGCGGCGACGGGUAGCCGGCCUGAGAGGGUGGACGGCCACAUUGGGACUGAGAUACGGCCCAGACUCCUACGGGAGGCAGCAGUGGGGAAUAUUGCACAAUGGGCGGAAGCCUGAUGCAGCGACGCAGCGUGGGGGAUGACGGCCUUCGGGUUGUAAACUCCUUUCGACCGCGAGGAAGCCACCUGGUUGGAAGGGUGGUGACGGUAGUGGUAGAAGAAGCACCGGCUAACUACGUG
rnacentral:rRNA from 1 species